UAUCUUGUUAUAAUAAGAGAUAAGGUAUCCAAACUGUAUUUAUGACUCUUUAUAAAUAUAGAGACUAACCUGUUUCUUUUUCAACAGAUUAGAUACUGUAGUUACAGUCAAAGCACCCCUGGUAAAGUCAUCUAGGCCUGCUGAUUGAGACAGCACUGUUGCUGUACUUAUACUGCGCAAAGGACUGUUUGGAGCAGUUAACCUACAGGUGAUACGAACUGAAGAUAAGGUGGAGUGGGGAGUGGAUGUCUCCAUAGUCAUAUGCUUAUAUACAAUGUAAUACUGCAUUUCAAAAUCUAUGAUUUUAUCUUGGAAGUAUGAAUGCUGCGGGCGACCUUUCAGUUUUCAAGAGCAUGGUGAUCAGACUUGAGUCUCUUUAUUAUGAGUGUAUUUAUAUUUAUUUAUUCGAGAUUUGAGAAGUAUGUUUUCGAAGAAGUCUUUAAUAUAAAGAGUCUCUUUAGAAGUCUGUAACUAAUAGAAGUCUAUUUAAAAUGCUUUAUUUUAGUUGGUAUUACCAAAAA